GGAGGUUAGAGCUCAGUGGUAGAGCGUGUGCUUAUUAUGCAUGAGGUCCUGGGUUCAAUCCCCAGUACCUCCA
rnacentral:tRNA from 1 species